UGUGGCACAUGCGCAGUUCCGUGUCUUCCCUUGGCCGCCCGUCCGUAAAGGCCGCCCCGCUCUGAUUUUUCCCAGAGCCAGUCUAAAGAUUGUGUUUGGGGAAAUGCAGUCUUCCUUCUCCCCCACUCAUGUUUCACUUCAGGAUGCAGCAAUGAGAUGUUAUUUUUUUUUAAGCCCUAAAGCAGGGUUUGCAAUCUGCCCUGUGUAGCCGACCGGCCGUGGGGUUGCCGGUCACCUACAGCCGCCCUGGGCCGGUGGUCGGUGCUGUGCACCCAGGCGGGCCGCCCGGAGCCGCCGGGCCCCUGGGCCCAGUGCCGGAGAAGCCCGAAGAGCGAGCAGGGUAAGGCUGACUGGUCAUGGACACCUUCCACUGGAAAGGUGCCCAAAUGCCAGCUCUUAUGAGCACAUGGGAAACUCAUAGAUCCUUCUGCACCAGAGGAUCUCCUUCCCACUAUGUGACUGCAGUGGAAGGGAAGCCCCAGCAUCUCCUGUCCUCCACCACAGCCUCUGGAUGUGACAUCCUUCCUUCCUUUGUCCAACGAGCCACUGUUAACUGACCUGGAAGUUGUGAGGGAGCUGUGAUGCGGGUCUGGCUGGGGCCCUUCACGCCGGUGAGGACAGGAUGACGGUUGGACAGCUUCCUGGAGCACAUAUGCCUAUGCCGAGACACCAGGUAGAGUUCUCGGGAGCCACAGCCUCCUUCCUCUGUCCUCUCCCUCUCUACACCCCCACGAUAGAGCAGAAAGGACAGGUUUGUCCCACAGGCUAACAGAAAAGUGCUGCUUGGCUUUCGGAGCCUUAGGAUAAAGUUGAAUAUUGUUCCCAGGAGGCAGUUCCAGACAAAAGACCUUCCCAUAUCUCUGGCCCUGAAUUGUCUGUUCUCUCCUCUACAACGGGGGGCGGCAGUUUUGUCUGAAGAGCCAAGUUUCUGGGUUAACUAAAACUUGAGCUUACCCAGAGCAUCACAUUCUGCUGUUCACUCAACAAACGUGUAUGAGCAUUAUUUACAUGCUAGUUUUCAGGGAACCUACAGCAAAGACAGUUCCUGCUCUCAAGUCACUGAGCACCAAGUACUCUGAUGGGGCUAUGCAUGUAUGGCUUGCAGGUGCAGGUCCGGGUCCCAGGGAAAAUAACUGUAGCCUUAAAGCAGGAGCUGAGUGCACAGAGAAGCAGAGGGGAGAGACGCAGAGCGGCAGGCAGAAGUGCAGGGGCCAGGCGGUGGCAGAAGCAGAUCGCGUUGCUGAGCGCCGAGCCUGCUGGAGGCCUCCCUGGGAACGGGGCAAGUAUUGCUUUAUUUGAUUCUUACAACUCUUUGGGAUCAGCACUGUGAUGAACCCCAUUUUACCGAGGCAGGGAAGUCAAGAAACUACUUGAACACAAUCACAGUUUGCACAGUAAGUGCUGAAGCCAGGCCUCAAACCAGGAGUGUGAGUGCCAGCAGCAGCCGUUCGCCCCUUGGCCACCUGGCUCUGGAGGCUGGUGAAAUGCUCUUUGGAGAAAGAGGACGAGAUGCGUGGGGAAGGGGACAGGAGACUAAUCGAGGCAGGUAGGCUCAGCAGGACGUGAAUGCAGUUUAUACACCACGUGGGGCACUUGGACUUUAUCUCAAGGUAACAGGAAUGCAAAUGACAGAUUUUGAGGAGGAAAGUGGUCUGCCUUGUAUGGCUAAUACUCUGCUAACUCGAGGAGGGGGAUGAUCCUGGAAUAAGGCUGCUGGAGAGGGCAUGAGGGCCAACCGGCCGGCCGUGCAGGAGGAGCCAGGACCGGGAGAUGAACGCUUCAACGGAGGAGGAAACAGGAGGGUCAGGAGGAGGGGUGGGUAUGGAGGGCCCUUCAGAAGUGGGGUUGAGGGGGUAUCGAAACUGAGUGAGGACAGGAGUCAGGGAGGACGUGCAGGCGGCUAGACUGCUGGGCUUCUUACUUUGGAGUGAGGACCGGGGAGAGGCAGACGGGAAAGGAAGACCUAGGAUGGGUGGAGGGGACGGCUUGUGGUGCUCAUGGUGCCCUGCAGGGGUGAGCAGGACAGGACCAUGCAGUGAGACCUUAGAGCCUGGGGUAGGGGGUGUCAUCUGGACGCAGGCACAGGACCACAGACAUGCAGGCUGACACAGGAGAAUGGAUGGGACAAGCAGAGGAGACUCCAGAAAUCAAAGCCUGGAGCUGGGCCGGAGGGACCAUGCAGCAUGCAAAAGGGCAGUGGAUGAGGGGGGAAGGAGGGGCACUGAGGGAGGAGCAGUGUGCAGGGGUGCUGCUUCCACAGCUGCGGGGCACAGAGCAGCUCAGCAAAGGGGCUGGGCAGUCCUGACGCGCCCAGAUAACUGGGGAGAGGCUCGUACACUUGGGAGGAAGAGACGGUUGUUGGCUCUGGAGAACACGGGCUGGGGGGUGGGCUUGGGCAGGGGAUCAGUGUGGGUUUAGGAGCAGGGGUGCAGGGAAACAGACAAAGACGGCUCUUAUCGCUCAACUGGCUCUGAUGGAAGGAGAGAGAACACAGCAUCCGG